rnacentral:tRNA from 1 species
GUAUCUAUAGUAAAAAUAUUAUGGUUGCCUUCCAAGCAAAUGUUCCAGUUGGUUCUGGUAGAUAUU